GAACUUUGCCAGCACACACACUAAGCUUAGGAUGACACAAAGAAGACUGGCAUGGCCUUUGCACAGGAUGUUGUGCAAAUCUGUGAAACAUUCCAUAUUUUC
ensembl:snRNA LOC120093315 U6 spliceosomal RNA